rfam:Pelodiscus sinensis unplaced genomic scaffold scaffold1046, whole genome shotgun sequence.
CUCAAUGAUGAGCUCUUUUUGGAAUCUCGUUCGGCUGAAUAUUGCUGUUGAGACUUUAACUCUGAAGCUU